rnacentral:rRNA from 1 species
AUUGAACGCUGGCGGCAUGCCUUACACAUGCAAGUCGAACGGUAACAGGUCUUCGGAUGCUGACGAGUGGCGAACGGGUGAGUAAUAUAUCGGAACGUGCCCAGUUGUGGGGGAUAACUACUCGAAAGAGUGGCUAAUACCGCAUACGACCUGAGGGUGAAAGCGGGGGAUCGCAAGACCUCGUGCAAUUGGAGCGGCCGAUAUCAGAUUAGGUAGUUGGUGGGGUAAAGGCUCACCAAGCCAACGAUCUGUAGCUGGUCUGAGAGGACGACCAGCCACACUGGGACUGAGACACGGCCCAGACUCCUACGGGGGGCAGCAGUGGGGAAUUUUGGACAAUGGACGCAAGUCUGAUCCAGCCAUGCCGCGUGCGGGAAGAAGGCCUUCGGGUUGUAAACCGCUUUUGUCAGGGAAGAAACGAGCGUCUCUAAUACAGAUGCUAAAUGACGGUACCUGAAGAAUAAGCACCGGCUAACUACGUGCCAGCCGCCGCCGUAAUAC